UGGGGAAUCUUGCACAAUGGGGGAAACCCUGAUGCAGCGACGCCGCGUGAGCGAUGAAGCCCUUCGGGGUGUAAAGCUCUUUCGACAGGAACGAUUAUGACGGUACCUGGAGAAGAAGCUGCGGCUAACUACGUGCCAGCAGCCGCGGUAAUA
rnacentral:rRNA from 1 species